UGGAGGAGCUAACGUGAGCCAACGAGAAACAUGUGCAUUAAAUUGGGCACAAACGAAAUAAUAUAAAUAUUUUGGUAGCUUUUGCUUGGGGUUUUCUCAAGCCCAAACCAUUUGAGGGGGGAAAAGAGAAAAUGUUGGUAUUUUUGAUGAACUCCAAAGAGGGCAAGCCUGGGGACAGAGACAGGGGAUCGCUGCCCUGUGGGCUCGAUGUGGCGAGCUCUGACUUGGGAGCGCUAGCCCAGGGGGUCUGGUGUUGCUGGAUUGAUGGCCUUCAGGGGUGUACAGUGGCCAGGGUGAAAGGAACACUCCACAUGUGCCCCGACCAUGGUUUAUUCCAGGUUGUAGAAUUUUGCCCACUGAAACCUUCAGAGGCCAACGGACACUAGGAGCUGGCAGACCACAGCCCCCCCACCACAGUGGGCAGGGUCCACCUCAGCAGCAGAGAGCCUGGUCACUGGAGGUCACAGCCUUCCCAGUGCAGCCCACGGUGGCAGAGCAAGGCAGGGGUCAACAGCUAGACAUAGGAUGCUCUGAUGGACAAUCUGCACCCAGAGCCCCCGCCCUGGUGACCCCAGCUUCCUCAGGCCGGGGCACAGCGGCUCUGCUCUCUCUACCUCGUCUGCUACCCCUCCUUCCUGUCCCAGGUGUUGAUUCCUAGAGAACAUCUUGCAUCCAAGAUCUUGUUCUCCAGAGACACAGAGCCGGUAGGAUGCAUGUGGGGAACUCUGUUGGAGGUGACACCACCCACGAUCCUGGAGUGCAGAGGUCUCCUAACAGGCCAUCUGUGAUCUGAAGAAUCAGAAAAGUCAGUAGCAUGGUCAGUCCCAGCUGGGAACCAGCAAAGGCAAUGGAUGGGACAGUCCCCAGCCGGACACCCGCAUCCUGAGAGCCACCUGGAGCUGCUGAUCUGGGACUCAGCGUCCAGAGGCCAAAGAACCUGGGCCACAUUCAUUGAGGACAGAUCCUCCCGCCCACCCUGCUCCACAGAUGUCUCCAGGACCAACCCUCAGGCAAGCUGACUCCAGAAUUAACCACCGCACACCCCACCACUCUGCCUUAGCCUUUGUUCCUGGAGAACUGAGUCUAGACCAUUCUACAUGCUCACUGCCUUCACUGUGGUCUUAUGAACUGAGAGGAUCCCACUUCACAGAAGAGGACACUGAGGUUCAGAGGGGCAAAACUCGCGGAGGAAGAGGACAAACACUUUGGAAGUCCAAUGUGGUGGCCCUGGGUCCGUUUCUGCCGCUUCUGUGGUCUGGGAUAGGCUUCCCCCACCUCAGGGACUUUUGCUUCUGGAUUUUCCAUGACCCUGCAUGCAGUGGUGCAUUCUUGUCUGAUUAGGUGUGCUGGUAAACAAGGUGCGGGCAGCAAAUUGUGUAAGAAAAGAACCUUCAACACUUAUCAACAAUGGGGGUGGGAAUUCUAUAAUUUACUGGGCACUUACUAAGUGCUGUGAACUCUGUGUAUGUAACUUCUGUGGAUGAUGAUGAUAGCAUCUGAGGUUCAGGGAUGCUGAUGAGGAGGCAGGCACUGUGCUGCCUAUUUGGUGUUUUAGCCCAUCCAGACCUGACAAUAACUGAUAAGCCUGAUGCUGCUAACAUUCCUGCCGAGGAAGGUGGCAAAGAAUUUGGUCUCCAGCAUCUAAGAGUCAAGCUAGGGCUACGUACCCCAGAGCUGGUCUGCUAGCCCUCUGGGCUGCACAGCUCUGCUACCAAGCCUACAGUGACCACUGCUAUCCCCACUGGACAAGGUGAGCUCUUGAGGCUCAGAGUAUUGGAUGCAGUAGCCCCUCGUCAUCGCAGUUUUAUUUCCCAGUUUUAGUUGCCUGAAGCCUGAAAAUAUUAAAUGAAUAAUUUCUGAAAUAA